CCUACGGGAGGCAGCAGUGGGGAAUAUUGGGCAAUGGAGGAAACUCUGACCCAGCAACGCCGCGGGAAUGAUGAAGGUCUUCGGAUUGUAAAGUUCUUUUCUAAGGGAAGAAGAACGUGACGGUACCUUAGGCAUACGCCUCGGCUAACUACGUGCCAGCAGCCGCGGUAAUACGUAGGGGGCAAGCGUUAUCCGGAUUUACUGGGUGUAAAGGGAGCGUAGACGGCAGCAACAGUCUGGAGUGAAACCCCGGGGCUUAACCCCGGAACUGCUUUGGAAACUGUGCGGCUGGAGUGCAGGAGGGGUAAGCGGAAUUCCUAGUGUAGCGGUGAAAUGCGUAGAUAUUAGGAGGAACACCGGUGGCGAAGGCGGCUUACUGGACUGUAACUGACGUUGAGGCUCGAAAGCGUGGGGAGCAAACAGGAUUAGAUACCCCUGUAGUC
rnacentral:rRNA from 1 species